AAGGGAGCUGACGGGCACGCAGCCAUGUGGAAGAAGAAAUCUAUAUUCUGGGAGCUAGAAUAUUGGAAAGUCCUAGAUGUCCGCUCUGCAAUCGACGUGAUGCACAUUACGAAGAAUAUUUGCGUGAACCUCCUAAGCUUCUUGGGCGUGUAUGGGAAGACAAAUGAUACAAAGGAAGCACGGCAGGACCAGCAACGUUUGAAAGACCCUGAUGACCGGCAUCCAGAAUGGUUUCAAGGUCGUGCCAGCUACGCUCUGACCAAAGAAGAGAAGGUCAUCUUUUUUGAAUGCCUGAGCAGUAUGAAGGUCCCGUCUGGAUUCUCGUCCAAUAUAAAGGGAAUAAUAAAC
rnacentral:rRNA from 1 species